GAUCUAUGCCUUGAUAGGUCUUCAGUUACUCAUGGUGAAACAUGUUAGAUAUUAGGUCCCAUAAGAGCAUGUGGCCAAGAUGGCCAGCUCCACCAAAGAUUCAUACUUCCCCUUCCAUAGUAUGGAGUUGUGCUGGGAAGCAGUUUUCCCACCAGGGACAACAUCUUCUAGUCCUUUUACAUCUAAGUAGUACCAUGAGACUGGAUCAUGCCAAAGAAAUGUUUUGGAAGUGAGAUGUUUCACUUUGGAACCAAGGAACUGAAAAAACAGAUAGAGGGAGCCCAAGCCAAGAAGAGAGGUCUGGUAUCAAAGAUUUGCUGAAUUCACAAUUGAAGAGGCUUAUGUCAGUCCCUUAGAAAGAAUUUGAGGACUCCUCGGAAAAUUGCUGAGUUGAGUAAAUAUUUCCUUCCAUAAAGGUAAAUAAGCAUCUCAAGAGCAAGUUUCUACAUUUUGUAUUUCCCUGUUUUAUUUCUGUAAAAUUGUGCAACCAAGAAUUAUGACCUACUGAUAUUAGAAUAAAAUUUGCAGAAGUUUGA
rnacentral:lncRNA from 1 species